CCGCUCUGCACGCGCGCGGUGCCGUUCCGCACGGCAACCUGCAGAGCCCCGCUAGCUAAAAUCUAAUUUCAGAUUGGACAAGUGGAGGGACCGCAAUGCCCGGGGGAGGUCAGGAACCAGGGAGCUACUACGUGGGUGUGGACGUUGGAACGGGCAGUGUGCGUGCGGCUCUGGUGGACCAGAGGGGAGUCCUUUUGGCUUUCGCAGACCAGCCAAUUAACCAAUGGGAGCCUCAGUUCAACCACCAUGAGCAGUCCUCGGAGGACAUCUGGGCCGCAUGUGGUGUUGUCACAAAGAAAGUUGUACAAGGGAUCGAUGUAAACCGAAUCCGAGGGCUUGGGUUUGAUGCUACAUGUUCUCUGGUUGUUCUGGAUAAGCAGUUUCGUCCUUUACCAGUAAACCAUGAAGGGGAUUCCCACCGAAACAUCAUCAUGUGGCUGGACCACCGGGCGGUCAGUCAGGUCCACAGGAUCAACGAAACCAAGCACGGCGUCCUGCAGUAUGUUGGGGGCGUGAUGUCAGUGGAAAUGCAAGCCCCGAAGCUUCUGUGGCUGAAAGAGAACUUAAGAGAGACUUGCUGGGAUAAGGCGGGACAUUUCUUUGAUCUCCCAGACUUCUUAUCGUGGAAGGCAACAGGUGUCACAGCACGGUCUCUCUGCUCCCUGGUGUGCAAAUGGACAUACUCGGCAGAGAAAGGCUGGGAUGACAGUUUCUGGAAGCUGAUUGGCUUGGAAGAUUUUGUUGCGGAUAAUUACAGCAAAAUAGGAAACCAAGUACUGCCUCCUGGAGCUUCUCUUGGAAAUGGGCUCACACCAGAGGCAGCCAGAGACCUUGGACUUCCUGCUGGAAUUGCGGUGGCAGCCUCACUUAUUGAUGCCCACGCAGGAGGCCUAGGAGUGAUUGGAGCAGAUGUGAGAGGGCAUGGCCUUGCCUGUGAGGGACAGCCAGUGACGUCACGGCUGGCUGUCAUCUGUGGAACAUCUUCUUGUCACAUGGGGAUCAGCAAAGACCCAAUUUUUGUACCAGGUGUCUGGGGCCCUUAUUUCUCAGCCAUGGUCCCUGGGUUCUGGCUGAAUGAAGGUGGUCAGAGUGUUACUGGAAAAUUGAUAGACCACGUGGUGCGGGGCCAUGCUGCCUUCCCUGAACUACAAGCCAAGGCCACAGCCAGAUGCCAAAGUGUAUAUGCAUAUUUGAACAGUCACCUGGAUCUGAUUAAGAAGGCUCGGCCUGUGGGUUUCCUCACUGUUGAUUUACAUGUUUGGCCAGACUUCCAUGGCAACCGGUCUCCCUUAGCAGAUCUGACACUAAAGGGCAUGGUCACCGGGUUGAAACUGUCUCAGGACCUCGAUGAUCUUGCCAUUCUCUACCUGGCCACAGUUCAAGCCAUUGCUUUUGGGACCCGCCUCAUCAUAGAGGCCCUGGAGGCGGCAGGGCACUCUCUCAGCACUCUUUUCCUGUGUGGAGGCCUGAGCAAGAAUCCCCUUUUUGUGCAGAUGCAUGCAGACAUUACAGGCAUGCCUGUGGUCCUGUCGCAAGAGGUGGAGUCUGUUCUUGUGGGCGCUGCUAUUCUGGGUGCCUGUGCCUCGGGGGACUUCGCUUCUGUACAGAACUUCCGGGGCCGCCCUGGAGGGAAGGAGAGCCCAGCCCAUCCUGAUGGCUUCUUCCAAUAUCUCCUGUUCCACCUUCUUCUCUGAAGCGUAAAGCUCUUCUACCCUCAAGGAAGACUUCAUGGAGGAAGUGGCAUUUUAGAUUGACCGUUCCUUCAUCCUUCUGUGCAUUCAGCAAAUAUCUUUUCAGUUGCUGUGAAUAUUGAUGAGGAAGUUCAGGUUCUGCAUUCUGACCUUGAAAAGCUGCUGAGCACUGCCCAACCCCUUCCCCUGCAUCAAAUUGCCUGCCCAAAUCUUAACACUCCUGGCUGGAGUCCCCCCCCCCGCCCCCCCCUCCACAGAUAGAGGCUUAUAGGAUCCCAGGAAAACAUAGUUUCUUACUUCAACUAAGAAAUGUCUGUGCACAAGAACCCUGCCUUUGCCAAUGGCCUCAUACCUUCUCUCUUGACAUGCAUUCUCCUGUCCACCACCCUAGGGAAACUGGGAAAUGCCUCCAUGGAAAGGUCCGAGCCACAAACAGUGUGUUGGGUGUCCCGAGGCUGCUUUUAAAACUCACGGAUUGUCCAGAGCGUCUGUGGCUUUAAAAAGAAAAAACUAAAAACACAAAGUGCCUUCACAUCUCAGGUGUAAGUGCCAGAUCUUGUAGCACUUACAAGGACAAAUCCACUUCUUACUGAAUAAUAGAGCUUGAAACGCACAUGACUGGCUGAUGUAAGCUUUGGCCAGGUCUGUGAAGAAUUUUGCGACAUUAUUUCUCUUGAUGUUCUUUUCUUGUAGCUGUUGUUCUCUGAACAGGAGGCCAAGCUGAGGUGCUCCUUCUUCCUUACCCCAUGACCCUGAAUGAGCCCUUUCAGAUGUAGAGAAGCAGACUUUAAGCAAACACCUCUAGAUGCAGGUUCUCACUCUGCCUCUACCUAAGUGGGGAAGAUGCGUGGGCCCAGAAAUCUAAGGGUCCUUCAGUAUUUCUCACAACUCUUUCUCCCUAACACCGCCACCCUAUCCAUCACCAAAACCUCCUGAACACCUCUCAUAUCUGCGUACAUCUCCCUCAUGUAUCACCGCCACCCUGAUUGCCUCCCUGGACCUCUGCACCUGGCUCCUGCCAGACCGAAUGCCGGUGCUUUAGGAAAGGAGACUGCAGGGUCCCCGCGGUGUGGCCCCAGCCUGCCUCCAGGUUCUGUCUCCUCCGCACUUGCCCUCACUCCAUCUGCUCCAGUCACACUGGCCUUCUCAUUCCUCAAGUGUGUCAUUUUCUUUCCUUGUAGAUAGUUCUGUUCUCUGCUGGAUGCAUGCUCAUGCCUGCGCAUCCUUUUACUGUCAGCCAAGCCAUUACAUACAGUAUACAUGCAUGCAUGCAUAUACCAAAUUACACAUACAUACAUAUCGUACAUAACGUGAGGCGGCAGAGACCCAGGGAUGCCAAAACCCUCCCCUCCUUGCCUCUCCACACCCGGAAACCCCAUACCCCGGAUCAGGAGAGAACCCUCAUCUCUCAGAUUCUGACUGCUCUGUGACAGAGGAAAGAUCUAGAGUCAGCUGCCUACACCACCCUUCUCACACAGCUUCUCCUCAUGCUUCUGAGCAGAGAGGGCCACAGCAAGAGGCUGUGGACAAGGUAAUUUCUCGUUCUCUACUUGCCUCUGACCUGACAAAUUAUUUCUCGAUUAUCUCAGAUUAAUUUGGCUUUUUCAAAUAAGCGUGCAAAGCUUUCCUGCCUAAACUAUCAAACCCAACCUCACCUGUCGGUCUGGUCAUAUCCAAAAACAUUCAUUCAAAUAAUUUUUGUUCUUUUGGGUUUCACUUUCACGGGCACAGAGACUAGUCAGGAAGGAAUAAGGGCAGAAGGAGAGGCGGGGGGGGGGGGGGGACAGAUGGUGAGAGAGAGAGAAAGAAAACCUCUCAGAACAGUUUGAGGACAUUCGCAAAAAGGGGUCCACUCCCUCUUGCCACCACCCCAUAACACUUUUCCUGACCCCCUCAGGAAUCUCUCUUCCACUUACCAGCCCUCUGGAAUAAGGAUUAGGCCACCUUCCUUUCUUAGCCAUCAUUUGGUCUCCGGUGAAUUUGACUCAGCCCCCCACCUUUUUUCCCCACCCCUCUUUAACUCAUGAGAAGGAACUGCAGCCUGGGAGUCAGGAAUCCCAAGUUCUAGUUCAAGGUUUGGCAUCCAUUGAUUUUGUGAUCUUCCAUAAGUAUUGUCGGUGUCCUCCUCUGAGGCAUUCUCAACACCGUGGCAUUUCACCACUGAAUCCACCGUGCACAGAGGUAACCAACAUUUGUGAGCACUUGCUUCAUGCAAAACAUCAUCCUAGGAUUAACGAUCCCUUCUCCGCUCACCACCCCUGCAAAGGCAGAUGGUACUCCUGUUUUACAGAGAGGGAAGAUACCACUCAGGAAAAUUAAGAAACCUGCUCAGGGCCCAGGCUGGGAAGAGAAGAGGGGGGUUUCAAACCCAGGUCCCAGGUCCGUGUCUUUCCAGAGCUCAUGAGCCAUCACACUAAGCUGAGGCCCAAAGAGACUGUAGAAAAAGAAAUCAAGAUAACUUCUUACAAAACGACAAAUAGAGCGCAUCCUCUUCAUUCCUGCAUUAUGCAGAAGACGGGAUGCCUUUCUUGGAUUUUUUUCCUCCAUGCACACCUCUGCUUGGGAGCCGGGAAGAAGGAAAGCACACAUUGAGACUUCAGGUAGAAAUACGUAAAAGCUGGAAGCCCAGGACCAGAGGACGGAAGAGGUCAGGGAAGGCUGCGGCCCCACGCAGGUGUCAGAGCAUCCCCAGCCCAAGCCCUUUGAUCUGCAAGGAGCAAACUGAGGCCAGAGAGUUACAGAGUUUGAAUUUACACCUUUUGCAGAUGGAGAGAAGGGCCUAGAACCCAGGUCUCCUGACUCCACAGAAUCACCCACAUCUAAUAAGUGUCCUCCAUUCAGAAAGAAGAACCUUCAGAACAUCAGUUCGUACCUACCUAAAAGCCACACUGAGCUAUGCUAACAGGCUCUGCAAAAAAUGUUCUCACGGCAACUCCCAGCUGAGCACACAAAGAAGCAGGUCCCAAGGAACACUGUAAGGAUUGUCUGAAGGGAUCUAUGCUGGUGAGAUUACAAAAAUCAUAAUAUACGAAUAAAUGAACAUAUGGAAGAAAUCAGCAAAGCCCUCUCCUCCUUCCCAUAUGUAAACUCGGCCUUCGCCUAAAGUCAUUAAGCAAACACAGAUGCGGCCAACCCAGGCACCAGAUGGCAAACGAGAGUUGGAAUAAGUGGGAAAGAAAGCUUUCAGUGUUUAUUCAAAGAAGGGAAAAAAAGCCCUGAUCCAAAUUGCCGCAGUUUCCACAGAAUGGUCACCUGGGGUCACCAAGGCCCAAAGGUGACCAAAACAAAACAAAAGAAAAAAACCAGGAGUGACCGUGAUUGGGAAGUGGUAGGAAAACCACCACUAACUUCAGUGAA